CACAGGUGGCUAAAUCCUGGCCAGGAUCAAAAUGGAAAUUCCAGUUGAUGUUUUCAAAUACUACCUGAAAAAGUCUCUUCCCCUCAGUGUUCAGUGUCUCUGCUGGGAAUUCCAAAGGAUGGCAGAAAUCAUUUCAUAAGGGAAACAACGUGGAGACUCGCUGCUCAAGAACAAGGAAAGAUGAUCACUUCUUAAACACAGACAUCAUGUCUGCUCCCACCAUGGCUGUAAAGAAGAAAUCUUUCCCUCAACUCCAGGAACAUAGCUAUACUGGUACUUCUAAGACUCCUUAAUGGCACAAGUGAGUCAAGAGGUUAGUAAGAGGCCAGCCCAAGGCAAGGAUUUCACCUGAAGACAUUAACACCCAGAAGGACUACUAUCAUCACUUCAUCUGAAUUCCUGCCUGGUGCUGACUAUCGUGUUAAAUUUAAUGAGACCGCUGAAUUAUUCU
rnacentral:lncRNA from 1 species